rnacentral:rRNA from 1 species
GACGAACGCUGGCGGCGUGCUUAACACAUGCAAGUCGAACGCUGAAGCUCAGCUUGCUGGGUGGAUGAGUGGCGAACGGGUGAGUAACACGUGAGUAACCUGCCCUCUUCUUUGGGAUAACGCCCGGAAACGGGUGCUAAUACUGGAUAUUCACUGAUUCUCGCAUGGGGGUUGGUGGAAAGGUUUUUUCUGGUGGGGGAUGGGCUCGCGGCCUAUCAGCUUGUUGGUGGGGUGAUGGCCUACCAAGGCUUUGACGGGUAGCCGGCCGUAGAGGGUGACCGGUCACAUUGGGACUGAGAUACGGCCCAGACUCCUACGGGAGGCAGCAGUGGGGAAUAUUGCACAAUGGGCGAAAGCCUGAUGCAGCGACGCCGCGUGAGGGAUGGAGGCCUUCGGGUUGUAAACCUCUUUCGCUCAUGGUCAAGCCGCAGCUUUGGGUUGUGGUGAGGGUAGUGGGUAAAGAAGCGCCGGCUAACUACGUG